rnacentral:rRNA from 1 species
GACGAACGCUGGCGGCGUGCCUAAUACAUGCAAGUCGAACGCAGUGGGGACGGGUGAGUAACACGUUGGUAACCUCCCAUCAGAGGGGAUAACACUUGGAAACAGGUGCUAAACCGAUACUGAUGGAUGGACCCGCGGUGCAUUAGCUAGUGGGUGAGGUAACGGCUCACCAAGGCCACGAUGCAUAGCGGACCUGAGAGGAUGAACGGUCACACUGGGAAGGGGAAACGGCCCAGACGCGAACGGGAGGCAGCAGUAGGGAAUAUUCGGCAAUGGACGAAAAUCGGACAGAGCAACGCAGCGUGAGUGAAGAAGGGUUUCGGAUCGUAAAACUCUGUUGUUAGAGAAGCGAUAUCUAAACAAAAAGCCACGGCUAACUACGUGCCAGCAGCCGAGGUAAUAC